UCUACGGGAGGCAGCAGUAGGGAAUCUUCCACAAUGGACGCAAGUCUGAUGGAGCAACGCCGCGUGAGUGAAGAAGGUUUUCGGAUCGUAAAGCUCUGCUGUUGGUGAAGAAAGAUGGUGAGAGUAACUGCUCAUUAUUUGCCGGUAAUCAACCAGAAAGUCACGGCUAACUACGUGCCAGCAGCCGCGGUAAUA
rnacentral:rRNA from 1 species